rnacentral:rRNA from 1 species
AUUGAACGCUGGCGGCAGGCCUAACACAUGCAAGUCGAACGAGUGGCGGACGGGUGAGUAAUGUCUGGGAAACUGCCCGAUGGAGGGGGAUAACUACUGGAAACGGUAGCUAAUACCGCAUACCAUCGGAUGUGCCCAGAUGGGUUUAGCUAGUAGGUGGGGUAACGGCUCACCUAGGCGACGAUCCCUAGCUGGUCUGAGAGGAUGACCAGCAACACGGGAACUGAGACACGGGCCAGAUUCCUACGGGAGGCAGCAGUGGGGAAUAUUACACAAUGGGGGCAAGCCUGAUGCAGCCAGGCCGCGUGUAUGAAGAAGGCCUUCGGGUGGUAAAGUACGUUCAGCGAGGAGGCGUUACUCGCAGAAGAAGCACCGGCUAACUCCGUGCCAGCAGCCGCGGUAAUUC